AUGAACGCUGGCGGCGUGCCUAAUACAUGCAAGUCGAGCGAACGGACGAGAAGCUUGCUUCUCUGAUGUUAGCGGCGGACGGGUGAGUAACACGUGGAUAACCUACCUAUAAGACUGGGAUAACUUCGGGAAACCGGAGCUAAUACCGGAUAAUAUUUUGAACCGCAUGGUUCAAAAGUGAAAGACGGUCUUGCUGUCACUUAUAGAUGGAUCCGCGCUGCAUUAGCUAGUUGGUAAGGUAACGGCUUACCAAGGCAACGAUGCAUAGCCGACCUGAGAGGGUGAUCGGCCACACGGGAACUGAGACACGGUCCAGACUCCUACGGGAGGCAGCAGUAGGGAAUCUUACGCAAUGGGCGAAAGCCUGACGGAGCAACGCCGCGUGAGUGAUGAAGGUCUUCGGAUCGUAAAACUCUGUUAUUAGGGAAGAACAUAUGUGUAAGUACCUGUGCACAUCUUGACGGUACCUAAUCAGAAAGCCACGGCUAACUACGUG
rnacentral:rRNA from 1 species